rnacentral:rRNA from 1 species
UACGGGGGGGGCAAGCGUUGUCCGGAUUUAUUGGGCGUAAAGAGCUCGUAGGCGGUUCGGUAAGUCGGAUGUGAAAUCUCCACGCUCAACGUGGAGGGGCCAUUCGAUACUGCCGUGACUCGAGUCCGGUAGGGGAGUGUGGAAUUCCCGGUGUAGCGGUGAAAUGCGCAGAGAUCGGGAGGAACACCCGUAGCGAAGGCGGCACUCUGGGCCGUGACUGACGCUGAGGAGCGAAAGCGUGGGGAGCAAACAGG